UUAUGCAGUACUACCUGUAGCGACUUAUCAAGGUCUAAGCUAACUCUAGAAUCAUGGAUAACAUUAAUAUUUUCGGUCAAGCAGACAAACACUUGCAAAGAACUGUUGAACUCCUCCAAAAAAACAAUGUCGGGGUUAUGAUACGCGAUGAGUGAGACCUCAACGCCAUUCAUAUUCGUGAAGAAAAACGAAAGGCUCAAGCAAUAGCUGCGGAAAAACUACAGGCAAACCGUAUGGGAAAAGGAAAACAAAAGGCUACAUGUGCGGACAAGCGGAAAGAUAAUGCCUUGGUACAAGUCUUCGUGCUUUUCAAUUGAACUUUUACUUUCAG